rnacentral:rRNA from 1 species
CCUACGGGAGGCAGCAGUGGGGAAUAUUGGACAAUGGGCGAAAGCCUGAUCCAGCAAUGCCGCGUGAGUGAUGAAGGCCUUAGGGUUGUAAAGCUCUUUUACCAGGGAUGAUAAUGACAGUACCUGGAGAAUAAGCUCCGGCUAACUCCGUGCCAGCAGCCGCGGUAAUACGGAGGGAGCUAGCGUUGUUCGGAAUUACUGGGCGUAAAGAGUACGUAGGCGGUUAUUCAAGUCAGAGGUGAAAGCCCGGGGCUCAACCCCGGAACUGCCUUUGAAACUAGAUAGCUAGAAUCUUGGAGAGGUCAGUGGAAUUCCGAGUGUAGAGGUGAAAUUCGUAGAUAUUCGGAAGAACACCAGUGGCGAAGGCGACUGACUGGACAAGUAUUGACGCUGAGGUACGAAAGCGUGGGGAGCAAACAGGAUUAGAUACCCUGGUAGUCCACGCCGUAAACGAUGAUAACUAGUUGUUCGGGCACUUGGUGCCUGAGUGACGCAGCUAACGCAUUAAGUUAUCCGCCUGGGGAGUACGGUCGCAAGAUUAAAACUCAAAUGAAUUGACGGCUGAGACGNGCGAGCGACGACGAGGAGAGG